GGCAGAAUUGACAAGGAAACUCAGGAAAGAAGUUCUGUUGUGGUUUCUGGUCCAGUUUGGUAAGGAGGAAUUUGGUGAUUCUGAGGUUAAAGAUCUAUAGCAUGGCUCAGAUGCACAAAGCCAUCCCAAUUGUUUGGAAGAAGGCUUAAGCAGAUUGAUCUAUAGCUAGAGGAAUCAUCUCUCCAUACUGCAUCAUAAUGAAGCCUCACUAUCAAUUCAAGCCAAUUCGCCGGGUUAUUGGCCUCGCCAUAUACAUGCGCAAUAAAAAAGAAAGAUAAAUAAUGGAGUAGGAGCAGAUCAUUGAGGCAGGGGUGCUGAUGUGGCCAAAGGCAAUAUUCUUGGGUAAACUGUAUUAUACUUGUUAUACCAAUGUAGCCAAAGUCAGUAUCUUUUGGUCCCUCGUCAACAUUUCCUUAAUUAGGACUCUGAAUGCUGUAAAUUAGAGUAUCCAUACGUUAAUGUCUAUUUUAUCUGUAUUUGUAUCAGAUUGCAUGUUUAUUUUUGGUGGUGAAUUGUAUCAU